rnacentral:rRNA from 1 species
GACGAACGCUGGCGGCGUGCUUAACACAUGCAAGUCGAACGGUAAGGCCCUUCGGGGUACACGAGUGGCGAACGGGUGAGUAACACGUGGGUGAUCUGCCCUGCACUUCGGGAUAAGCCUGGGAAACUGGGUCUAAUACCGGAUAGGACCACUGCCUGCAUGGGGGGUGGGGGAAAGCUUUUGCGGUGUGGGAUGGGCCCGCGGCCUAUCAGCUUGUUGGUGGGGUGAUGGCCUACCAAGGCGAUGACGGGUAGCCGGCCUGAGAGGGUGACCGGCCACACUGGGACUGUGAUACGGCCCAGACUCCUACGGGAGGCAGCAGUGGGGAAUAUUGCACAAUGGGCGCAAGCCUGAUGCAGCGACGCCGCGUGAGGGAUGACGGCCUUCGGGUUGUAAACCUCUUUCAGCACCGACGAAGCGCAAGUGACGGUAGGUGCAGAAGAAGGACCGGCCAACUACGUGCCAGCCGCCGCCGUAA